AUGAGGCUCCCUGCUCAGCUCCUGGGGCUGCUAAUGCUCUGGCUCCCUGGGUCCAGUGGGGAUAUUGUGAUGACACAAACUCCACUCUCCCUGCUCGUCACCCCUGGAGAGCCAGCCUCUGUCUCCUCCUGCAGGUGUAGUCAGAGCCUUCCAUACAGUGGUGAAAAAACCUACUUGUAUUGGUAUCUGCAGAAGCCAGGCCAGUCUCCACAGCUCCUGAUCUAUUUUGUUUCAAACCGGGCCUCUCAAGUCCCAGACAGGUUCCGUGGCAGUGGGUCAGACACUGAUUUCACACUGAAAAUCAGCUGGGUGGAGACUGAGGAUGUUGGGAUUUAUUACCGCAUGCAAAAUAUAGAGCUUCCUCCCACAAUGGCACAGUCCCAUAGAGAAACCUGCCUUCUGGGGUGUCCCAGUUGCUCACUUGCACUGCUUGUCUGGGGAGCAGGUCAGUAG